AUUGAACGCUGGCGGCAGGCCUAACACAUGCAAGUCGAACGAGUGGCGGACGGGUGAGGAAUACAUCGGAAUCUACUCUGUCGUGGGGGAUAACGUAGGGAAACUUACGCUAAUACCGCAUACGAUUGAAUGAGCCGAUGUCGGAUUAGCUAGUGGGCGGGUUAAAGGCCCACCAAGGCGCCGAUCCGUAGCUGGUCUGAGAGGAUGACCAGCCACACUGGAACUGAUACACGGUCCAGACUCCUAGGGGAGGCAGCAGUGGGGAAUAUUGGACAAUGGGCGCAAGCCUGAUCCAGCCAUCCCGCGUGGGUGAAGAAGGCCUUCGGGUUGUAAAGCCCUUUAAGUUGGGAGGCGUUACCAACAGAAUAAGCACCGGCUAACUUCGUGCCAGCCGCCGCGGUAAUUC
rnacentral:rRNA from 1 species